rnacentral:rRNA from 1 species
AGCUCCAAUAGCGUAUAUUAAAGUUGUUGCAGUUAAAAAGCUCGUAGUUGAACUUCUGGCUGUGGCUCCAGCUGGCUUCGGUCGCUGGCGUUGCGGUCAUCCGCUUGGGAACUACGUUCGGACUUCACUGUUCGGCGUAAGGAACAGGCAUUUUACUUAGAAAAAAUUAGAGUGUUCAAGGCAGGCUAUCGCCCUGAAUACACAAGCUUGGAAUAAUGAAAUAGGACUUUUUCCAUUUUAUUGGUUAUUGGAAUUAGUAAUGAUUAAUAGGGACAGUUGGGGGCAUUAGUAUUUCGUUGUCAGAGGUGAAAUUCUUGGAUUUACGAAAGACUAACUUAUGCGAAAGCAUUUGCCAAGGAUGUUUUCAUUA